rnacentral:tRNA from 1 species
AAUAUAAUAAGCUAAUUAAGCUAAAGGGUUCAUACCCCUUAAAUAAAUUAAUAUUUAUCAUAUUU